rnacentral:rRNA from 1 species
AUACGGAGGAUCCGAGCGUUAUCCGGAUUUAUUGGGUUUAAAGGGUGCGCAGGCGGCCAUUUAAGUCAGCGGUUAAAUCGUGGGGCUCAACCCCAUUCUGCCGUUGAUACUGGGUGGCUUGAUUGCGGUCGAGGUUGGCGGAAUUCGUUGUGUAGCGGUGAAAUGCAUCGAUAUGACGAAGAACACCGAUUGCGUAGGCAGCUGGCCAGACCGCAAAUGACGCGCAUGCACGAAAGUGCGGGGAGCGAACAGGAUUAGAUACCCUGGUAGUCCGCACAGUAAACGAUGAAUACUUGUUUUCGGCGAUAUAAUGUCGGAGGCAAAGCGAAAGCGAUAAGUAUUCCACCUGGGGAGUACGCCGGCAACGGUGAAACUCAAAUGAAUUGGCGGGG